AUUGAUUUGGUAAAAUAUUUUGAGAGUAAAAAAAAAGCUCAACAGAUUCCUCUCUUCUCCAAAGCGUUGCAUUACAUCAACUGUAGUGAAGGAAGGAAGGUAAUGGAUCAUCAACAGGAGCAGGAUCCUCCAACAUUCAACAGUAAAUCACUUGAGAAGAAGCCAGGAAUUCUCUUUAUUGGAUCUCCCAAUGUCGGCAAACGCGCCCUUAUCUCUCGACUACUUUCAGUAGAUUCUGAAGAUGCAUUUGAAUCAUCUUCUAACAUCCUAUCAUAUCCGUGGGCAAUCAACACCAAGUAUUAUAAUGCUGAUGUUUCUGUUUGGAUGGCCCAUCUUCAUGAGGACUUCUCCAUUGGAGCCCUGCCAGCAUAUGAUCAGCUUGUUGCAUUGGUGAUGGUCUUUGACGUUACUGAUCUCUCAUCUUUUGUUGCGCUUAAAGAUUUUGUCUCCCGCACUGACAUCCUCAAGUUUGAGAUUUUGUUAUGCAUUGGCAACAAAGUGGACCUUCUUCCUGGUCAUUCGGCUCAUGUUGAAUACAGGCAGCUCCUGUUGAAAAGUGCAGACUCCUCUGGUAGCCCUUAUUCAGAAAUGGAUUCUGGAAUUUCUGAAACAGAAGGAAGCAGUCUACUAGGAGAUGAUGACUCAUCAUUUGAUGCUAAAAGGUCCUACUUGGAAUGGUGCCUCGAACACAGCAUAGAAUAUGUAGAAGCCUGUGCAUCAAAUGCUGAAUUUGACAAAUGUCUUUCUAUGGAUGGUGAUUCUCAGGGCGCUGAACGGCUCUUUGGGGCACUUUCAGCUUAUAUGUGGCCUGGAAUGAUCUUGAAGUCUGGUGAUAAGAUUACUGAACCUUCAUUACCUGAACAUCAAGAGUUGUCAGAUGAAGAAUCUGAUUAUGAACUUGAAUAUGAAAUCUUAUCUGCUGGCUCGGCUGAUCCCUGGGAUGACACAGAUGUAGGAUGGGUAUCUGCAGAUGCUACUGUUGUAACCACUGGAACCGAGGGAUCAGUUCCUAAUGGAAAAACCGAAAUCAGGUUAAUUAGAGGAGAAAUGCAACCCUCAUCUUCUACAUCUCAAUUGGAAGGAGAAAGUGACAGAAAAGAACUGCCCAGAGCGGAUGCAGAUGAUGGUGAUUCAGAGGAUGAUAAAGGAACAACAUAUGAUUUUGAGAAUUUGGAACAGUUAAUGUCCGAGAUUGGGAAUGUCCGAGACAGCUUAAGGUUAAUGCCAGACUUCCAAAGGAGGGAAAUGGCUGCAAAUUUGGCAAUGAAAAUGGCUGCCAUGUUUGGUGAUAGCAGUGGAGAUGAAGGAGGAUUGGAAUGAUAGGAGAAGCCCUUUAAAGUCGAUGAUCACGAAUGCCUCAGUUUCACUUCUUGUAGAGCUGAUCAUAGACUAAAGGAAUCUCAUAAGCACAUUGUGCAUUCAUGUCAAGUGAUAUCGACAAGAUAUUUUAUCAAAGAUAUCUGCUUUAAAAUUUACGGAUCUAAUUGUGUUUAUGAUGCAAACGCAGCAGUAUUUACAAGUCCUAACAGGAGAAUCAGGUGUCUUCUCUUGUUGACACACCCAAGAACAAACACAGCGGUUCUGACUUCUGAGGCUGGUGGUACUUUCAAGUCCACUAUUGCUUUCACAUCAUGUAGAUGGCUUGGACAUUUCAAGAAUGGUCCUCGCAGAGAGGUUUGGCCUUGAGGGACACGAUAUUCUGAUGCAAGAAACAGGUACUACGCUGCUUCUUGCCUCAACUUAAGUUUUCCAUGCCUGCUUUUAUACAAACUCAUGAGUACUUUACAUGCAUUGUUAUCACUUAACAAUUGUUAGAUAGAACACAUUCGAAUUAUCAGACUAGUCAGGUAAACUAGUGUAGUUUUGUGUUAAACAUCGAGUGUAGGUAAGUUUUUCCAAUGGUCUCUGGUGUUGUGUGGAGUUCAAAACAAGAACCAUGAUUAUGAAUAGGGUAUGCGUCACUCAUUUCUA